rnacentral:rRNA from 1 species
CACGCCGCGUGAGUGAUGAAGGUUUUCGGAUCGUAAAGCUCUGUUGUUAGGGAAGAACAAGUACCGUUCGAAUAGGGCGGUACCUUGACGGUACCUAACCAGAAAGCCACGGCUAACUACGUGCCAGCAGCCGCGGUAAUACGUAGGUGGCAAGCGUUGUCCGGAAUUAUUGGGCGUAAAGGGCUCGCAGGCGGUUUCUUAAGUCUGAUGUGAAAGCCCCCGGCUCAACCGGGGAGGGUCAUUGGAAACUGGGGAACUUGAGUGCAGAAAAGGAGAGUGGAAUUCCACGUGUAGCGGUGAAAUGCGUAAAGAUGUGGAGGAACACCAGUGGCGAAGGCGACUCUCUGGUCUGUAACUGACGCUGAGGAGCGAAAGCGUGGGGAGCGAACAGGAUUAAAUACCCUGGUAGUCCACGCCUUAAACGAUGAGUGCUAAGUGUUAGGGGGUUUCCGCCCCUUAUUGCUGCAGCUAACGCAUUAA